GACGAACGCUGGCGGCGUGCUUAACACAUGCAAGUCGAACGGAAAGGCCCUGCUUUUGUGGGGUGCUCGAGUGGCGAACGGGUGAGUAACACGUGAGUAACCUGCCCUUGACUUUGGGAUAACUUCAGGAAACUGGGGCUAAUACCGGAUAGGAGCUCCUGCUGCAUGGUGGGGGUUGGAAAGUUUCGGCGGUUGGGGAUGGACUCGCGGCUUAUCAGCUUGUUGGUGGGGUAGUGGCUACCAAGGCUUUGACGGGUAGCCGGCCUGAGAGGGUGACCGGCCACAUUGGGACUGAGAUAUGGCCCAGACUCCUACGGGAGGCAGCAGUGGGGAAUAUUGCACAAUGGGCGGAAGCCUGAUGCAGCAACGCCGCGUGCGGGAUGACGGCCUUCGGGUUGUAAACCGCUUUCGCCUGUGACGAAGCGUGAGUGACGGUAAUGGGUAAAGAAGCACCGGCUAACUACGUG
rnacentral:rRNA from 1 species